CUCUAAUCAGGGACUGGUUUAGACCUGGGACACCAGGUGGGUGGUUCCCCUCUAAUCAGGGACUGGUUUAGACCUGGGACACCAGGUGGGUGGUUCCCCUCUAAUCAGGGACUGGUUUAGACCUGGGACACCAGGUGGGUGGUUCCCCUCUAAUCAGGGGCUGGUUUAGACCUGGGACACCAGGUGGGUGGUUCCCCUCUAAUCAGGGACUGGUUUAGACCUGGGACACCAGGUGGGUGGUUCCCCUCUAAUCAGGGGCUGGUUUAGACCUGGGACACCAGGUGGGUGGUUCCCCUCUAAUCAGGGACUGGUUUAGACCUGGGACACCAGGUGGGUGGUUCCCCUCUAAUCAGGGACUGGUUUAGACCUGGGACACCAGGUGGGUGGUUCCCCUCUAAUCAGGGACUGGUUUAGACCUGGGACACCAGGUGGGUGGUUCCCCUCUAAUCAGGGACUGGUUUAGACCUGGGACACCAGGUGGGUGGUUCCCCUCUAAUCAGGGACUGGUUUAGACCUGGGACACCAGGUGGGUGGUUCCCCUCUAAUCAGGGACUGGUUUAGACCUGGGACACCAGGUGGGUGGUUCCCCUCUAAUCAGGGACUGGUUUAGACCUGGGACACCAGGUGGGUGGUUCCCCUCUAAUCAGGGGCUGGUUUAGACCUGGGACACCAGGUGGGUGGUUCCCCUCUAAUCAGGGGCUGGUUUAGACCUGGGACACCAGGUGGGUGGUUCCCCUCUAAUCAGGGACUGGUUUAGACCUGGGACACCAGGUGGGUGGUUCCCCUCUAAUCAGGGACUGGUUUAGACCUGGGACACCAGGUGGGUGGUUCUCCUCUAAUCAGGGGCUGGUUUAGA